UACAGAGGGGGCAAGCGUUGUUCGGAAUUACUGGGCGUAAAGGGCGCGUAGGCGGCCUGUUAAGUCGAACGUGAAAUCCCCGGGCUCAACCCGGGAACUGCGUCCGAUACUGGCAGGCUUGAAUUCGGGAGAGGGAUGCGGAAUUCCAGGUGUAGCGGUGAAAUGCGUAGAUAUCUGGAGGAACACCGGUGGCGAAGGCGGCAUCCUGGACCGAGAUUGACGCUGAUGCGCGAAAGCCAGGGGAGCAAACGGGG
rnacentral:rRNA from 1 species